GAUGAACGCUGGCGGCGUGCCUAAUACAUGCAAGUCGAGCGAACAGACGAGGAGCUUUCUCCUCUGAGGUUAGCGGCGGACGGGUGAGUAACACGUGGUUAACCUCCUUAUACGACUUGGUUAACUUCGGGAAACAGGAGCUACUACUGGAUAAUAUAUUGAACCGCAUGGUUCAUUAGUGAAAGACGGUUUUGCUGUCACUUAUAGAUGGAUCCGCGCCGCAUUAGCUAGUUGGUAAGGUAACGGCUUACCAAGGCAGCGAGGCGUAGCCGACCUGAGAGGGUGAGCGGCCACACUGGAACUGAGAGACGGACCAGACACAUACGGAAGGCAGCAGUAGGGAAUCUUCCGCGAAGGGCGGAAGCCAGACGGAGGAACGCCGCGUGAGUGAUGAAGGGCUUCGGAUGGGAUAACUCUGUUAUUAGGGAAGAACAAAUGCGUAAGUAAUUAGGCACUGCUUGACGGUACCUAGGCAGAGAGGCGCGGCUAACUUCGUG
rnacentral:rRNA from 1 species